GUCCACGCAGUAACUAUGAUUACUAGUUGUUGCGAUAUGAUAGCAAGUGACUAAGCGAAGCGAUAAGUAAUCCACCUGGGGAGUACGCCGGCAACGGUGAAACUCAAAGGAAUUGACGGGGCCCGCACAAGCGGAGGAACAUGUGGUUUAAUUCGAUGAUACGCGAGGAACCUUACCCGGGCUUGAAAUGCAUCUAACUGUAGUGGAAACAUUACUCUAGCAAUAGCAGAUGUGUAGGUGCUGCAUGGUUGUCGU
rnacentral:rRNA from 1 species